GGUAUUGUAGUGAAAGUUGAUAGUUAUUUAACAGAAAUUUUGAAUUUCAUUCAAACACCGUACAUUCAUCUUGAUUCAUUUUGUCAGAUAAGGCAGGGAAGUUAUUUUGGUGAUCUUGAAGAUUGAAGGAGAGUUAGAAAGGAGUAGCAGUAGAAGAGGAAGGGGAAGAGGAGUUAAGGGCAGUAGGUCCAGAAGCAUUGGUGGAAGCAGGGGUAGACGAGGGCAAGGCAGGGGUCGGGCGGCCGUACAAAACGUACCAGGUUGUCCAAGUCAGACAAAGAAAGAGUCGAAGAGAGAUUUAAAGAAAGAUCAGACAAUGCUGGGGAAUUGGUGAAACGUAUGGACACAGAGAAGCUGAGGAAUCUGGUUCUGGCCUUACUGAAGAGGGAGCCGGGGCUUCUCAUUGAUCUUGUAGAGGAUGACGCCGUCAUCAUGACGGGACUCCACCACCAUCACCUCCAGGUUCUUCAGGCAACAUAGUACCAUCAUGGUGCAGAUGUAGUUUCUGCAGAGAAAUGCCCACAGAGUUUGAAAAAAAUGUUGUGGUUGUAUUCCACAAAACUGUGUGAGCCAGAGAGAUCAAAUGAACCGUAUUGUUCUUGACCCUGAAGUGUUGGCAAUAGGACAGGCCUACUACAGGGAUAUGUUUGGAAGACAUCGCCAACGAGUUGAAGAUUACAAUAGAACCAUGCGACAUGCAGGAUAUUGCAAUUUUACACUUUGGAGACAUGGACAUUUGGGGGCUAGAAUCAGACGAGUGAUUCCUAGUUGCUGUGUUCUAGCUAUAAGGCGAAAAUUUCCUUCAGCCUCGGGACAGUACACAGGCUUUGUGCCUGCAUGUUUCGUUUGGGUUACAUUGUCAUUUAACAGAUCUGACCAUUUUUGUGCCAUGUGUAAUUUACUCAGAGAAGAAUAACCCAGUUUUUCAAAGCAUGGUCAAGACAGUCGUGUGAUUAUUCACCUAUACAGUGCCUUUUCUUUAAUGUAUAAACGGAAAGACUGUGAAUAUAAAACCCUUAUGAAAGUUCUAGUUUAGGUCUUGGAGACUUUUUUCACAUUCAACUACUGAUGUUUAUCAUUUGAGUUUGUUUGCUUAUGAUUGACACUUUUGAGAUACAGUUUGUAUUGUCUUUAGACUACAGGAAAUCAUGAUGUAUUUUCAAGUGAUGUUAUUUUCAACAUCUAAAAUAAAGCUGAAGUAACUACAGUCUGUCAGUAAUAUAUCAUUUAUUAAUAACAGUCAUGAGUUCUAUCUACAUAUCAAAAGCUUAACAAUGGUUAGUUAGUGUCUUGUAAAAAAGAAGGGUGUCUAAGAAGUUUUUGGAAUUUGUUUUCAAUACUGAAAAAUUCAUCAGACAUGCUAGUCACACACAGAUUAGGUAAAACAACAAACAUAACAGUUUUAUAGAAACUAGUCUUUUGUUGUGUGCAUUUGUAUAAAGAAUUCAUUGUAAGCUUACAAAAAGUAAC
rnacentral:lncRNA from 1 species